CAGAGGGUGCAAGCGUUGCUCGGAAUCAUUGGGCGUAAAGGGCAGGUAGGUGGUCUCAUUUGUCUGGGGUGAAAGCCUUGGGCUUAACCCAAGAAGUGCCUCGGAAACGGUGAGACUUGAGUACUGGAGAGGGUCGUGGAAUUCCCGGUGUAGCGGUGAAAUGCGUAGAGAUCGGGAGGAACACCAGCGGCGAAGGCGGCGACCUGGACAGUUACUGACACUCAACUGCGAAAGCGUGGGGAGCAAACAGGAUUAGAUACCCUGGUAGUCCACGCUGUAAACGAUGGGUACUAGGUUUGGUGGGUCUUGACCCCCGCCGAACCGGCGCUAACGCACUAAGUACCCCGCCUGGGAAGUACGGUCGCAAGACUA
rnacentral:rRNA from 1 species